GAGCUGUAACCAAGCAACAACAAAAUACAGAUUCAUGACAUAGAAGAGUAAACCUGGAUCUUUCCCUUCAGUGAUUCUCUGAGCUAUGUGGACUAUGCAGUCAUACAUCUUUGAGGCAGAGUGGCAUACAUGGGAUAUAUAGUGUUGGAGUUGGAGUCAAGAAGACCUGGGUUCAAAUCCACCCAUGAUAUUUACUAUCUAGGUGAUCAUAGAUAAGAGACAACUUCUCUGAACCCCAGAUCUUGUUUAGGAGUAUCUUCAAUUUUCUGGACCCUGUUACCUUCAGUCUGAUGAAGUCUGCAGUAUCUGGACAUCCUUUAUGCCACUUCUGCCCAGUUCUUCUUGGCAGUGACUGUGGCCUGCUGACCUACACCAUGCAACUCUCCAUUGCCCUGUUCUCUCCCCCUCCAACCUUCUCCCACAGAAACUAGAAAUAGAAUGAAUAAAGUAGACAACAGAAAGCCAUUGAAUAUUACUGAGCAGUGAAGAACAUCUCAAAGAAGCUUAACCUGGCAGUUCUAUGGAGCAUGGAUUAGAGGAAGGAGAGAAGACCAAGAUGGUGAUGAGGAGGAUAUGUUCUAGCAUACAAGAUAGCAGGAACAUAGAGGAUUCUGCUUCUCCCAGCAAAUAAAGACUUCAUCCCCAUUCAAGACACAAUGAUAUAACUGAAGAGGUACUAUAAGGUUGUACCUCAAUAGCAAUGCCAUCAUUCUCCCCUCCUUAUCAUUGGAGUCAAUUUUAAUAAAUUAGACCAGCACUCCCCAACCAAUAGAUUGUGAUCUUCUAAUGGAUCUUGAAACCUUAUCUAUUAGGUUUGCAAACUUCUGCCACAACCCUUACUUCUGCCCUUGAUACCUCAGAGGGAAUUCUAUCUUAUCAGGAAAGGGAAUAAAACCAAUAACUCUCCUCCCAA